rnacentral:tRNA from 1 species
GCGGAUGUGGCGAAAUUGGUAGACGCGCCAGACUUAGGAUCUGGUGUCUAAUACAUAUGAUGUGUGGGUUCAAGUCCCUCCAUCCGCACCA